rnacentral:rRNA from 1 species
GACGAACGCUGGCGGCGUGCUUAACACAUGCAAGUCGAACGGACAGGCCCUGCUUUUGUGGGGUGCUCGAGUGGCGAACGGGUGAGUAACACGUGAGUAACCUGCCCUUGACUUUGGGAUAACUUCAGGAAACUGGGGCUAAUACCGGAUAGGAGCUCCUGCUGCAUGGUGGGGGUUGGAAAGUUUCGGCGGUUGGGGAUGGACUCGCGGCUUAUCAGCUUGUUGGUGGGGUAGUGGCUUACCAAGGCUUUGACGGGUAGCCGGCCUGAGAGGGUGACCGGCCACAUUGGGACUGAGAUAUGGCCCAGACUCCUACGGGAGGCAGCAGUGGGGAAUAUUGCACAAUGGGCGGAAGCCUGAUGCAGCAACGCCGCGUGCGGGAUGACGGCCUUCGGGUUGUAAACCGCUUUCGCCUGUGACGAAGCGUGAGUGACGGUAAUGGGUAAAGAAGCACCGGCUAACUACGUG